UACGUAGGGACCGAGCGUUGUCCGGAAUUACUGGGCGUAAAGCGCGCGUAGGUGGCUUGAUAAGCUGGUUGUGAAAGCCCCGGGCUCAACCUGGGAACGGCAUCCGGAACUGUCAAGCUAGAGUGCAGGAGAGGAAGGUAUAAUUCCCGGUGUAGCGGUGAAAUGCGUAGAGAUCGGGAGGAAUACCAGUGGCGAAGGCGGCCUUCUGGACUGACACUGACACUGAGGCGCGAAAGCGUGGGGAGCAAACAGG
rnacentral:misc_RNA from 1 species